rnacentral:rRNA from 1 species
AAUCGAACCCGGAGAUAGCUGGUUCUCCUCGAAAUAGCUUUAGGGCUAGCCUCAAGUUAGUCUAUCGGAGGUAAAGCACUGAAUUGACGCGGGUCCCCAAAAGGAUACCAACUCAUAUCAAACUAAGAAUGCCGAAUAGAUGAUGCUUGGGAGUCAGACUAUGGGAGAUAAGUUUCAUGGUCAAAAGGGAAAGAGCCCAGACCGACAGCUAAGGUCCCAAAGUGUGUGUUAAGUGGAAAAGGAUGUGAGAUUUCGAAGACAACUAGGAUGUUGGCUCAGAAGCAGCCACUCAUUUAAAGAGUGCGUAACAGCUCACUAGUCGAGAGGUCUUGCGCCGAAAAUGUCCGGGGCUAAAACACACCACCGAAGCUACGGCUUGUAGUGAUACAGGGGUAGAGGAGCAUUCUGUGAGGACGAAGCGUAAGUGAAAGCGAGCGUGGACGAAACAGAAGAGAGAAUGCCGGAAUGAGUAGCGAGAUAUAUGUGAGAAUCAUAUAGGUCGAAUGUCUAAGGUUUCCUGGGUAAAGCUGAUCUGCUCAGGGUAAGUCGGGGCCUAAGGUGAGGACGAGAGUCGUAGCCGAUGGACAACAGGUUGAGAUUCCUGUACUACGUAUAAUCAGAACUGUGGGGACGCAGGAGGAUAGUGAAGCCGGGGAGAGGAAAUACCCGGUCAAGCACAAAGUCAUGAAGGUAGGCAAAUCCGCCUUCUGUAGAUGAAGUGUUAUGAGGAGCGAAGCAAAAGUAGCGAAGUUUGCAAAUCCACACUGCCGAGAAAAGCCGCUAUAGUGUUAUACGUACCCGUACCGCAAACCGACACAGGUAGACGAGGAGAAAAUCCACAGACCGACGGGAGAAGUGUUGUUAAGGAACUCGGCAAAAUGACCCCGUAACUUAGGGAUAAGGGGAGCCUACGAGAGUAGGCCGCAGAAAAGAGGCUCAAGCGACUGUUUAGCAAAAACACAGGUCUCUGCUAAACCGUAAGGUGAAGUAUAGGGGCUGACACCUGCCCGGUGCCGGAAGGUCAAAAGGAGAGGUUAGCGCAAGCGAAGCUUUGAAUUCAAGCCCCGGUAAACGGCGGCCGUAACUAUAACGGUCCUAAGGUAGCGAAAUUCCUUGUCAGGUAAGUUCUGACCCGCACGAAAGGUGUAACGAUUUGAGCACUGUCUCGACAACACGCCCGGUGAAAUUGAAGAACCAGUGAAGAUACUGGUUACCCGCAACAGGACGGAAAGACCCCAUGGAGCUUUACUGCAGCUUAAUAUUGGGAUUCGGUAUUGUAUGUACAGGAUAGGAGGGAGACGAAGAAGCUAGGACGCCAGUCUUGGUGGAGUCGCUGUUGGGAUACCUCUCUUAUGAUACUGGAUUUCUAACCUGCUCCCGUGAAUCCGGGAGAGGGACAUUGUUAGGCGGGCAGUUUGACUGGGGCGGUCGCCUCCGAAAGAGUAACGGAGGCGCUCAAAGGUCUUCUCAGAAUGAUUGGAAACCAUUCAAAGAGUGUAAAGGCAAAAGAAGGCUUGACUGCGAGGUCGACGGACCGAGCAGGUACGAAAGUAGGACUUAGUGAUCCGGUGGUAACACGUGGGAGUGCCAUCGCUUAACGGAUAAAAGCUACCCUGGGGAUAACAGGCUUAUCUCCCCCAAGAGUUCACAUCGACGGGGAGGUUUGGCACCUCGAUGUCGGCUCAUCGCAUCCUGGAGCUGUAUUCGGUUCCAAGGGUUGGGCUGUUCGCCCAUUAAAGCGGUACGCGAGCUGGGUUCAGAACGUCGUGAGACAGUUCGGUCCUUAUCUGUCGCAGGCGGAAGAUAUUUGAGAGGAGCUGUCCUUAGUACGAGAGGACCAGGAUGGACAUACCGAUGGUGUAUCAGUUGUCACACCAGUGGCACGGCUGAGUAGCCAAGUAUGGAAGGGAUAAACGCUGAAAGCAUCUAAGUGUGAAGCCCACCUCAAGAUAAGAUAUCUCAUAUCGU